rfam:Rattus norvegicus granulocyte colony stimulating factor mRNA, complete cds.
CUGAGGCACCUGUCUCAGGGGCCCAGGCAGCAUCUGGUCUCCCUUCUGGGGGACAAGACAUCCCUGUUUAAUAUUUAAACAGCAGUGUUCCCA